GGUCUCAUUCUGUAGCCCAGGCUGGGCCUUUAACUCCUGAUUCUUUGCUUCAGCCUCUCGAGUCCUGGGAGAUCUGGCACCACACCCAGCUCCAAGAAGGUAUGGUUGGGAAGGCUGCAGAGAGGCUAAGGAAUGUUCUGGAGCCCACUGGCCUAUGGGAGAUGCUGAACUCUGCUUGUCUAGCCCCAUGCCUUCUGAGACAGGGCAUUAACCUAAUUCCAGGUCCCCAGUUGUGUAUGUAAGGCAAACAAACCUGCCAAGGCAGCUUCCUGUGUACCCUGGUUGUGGAGGAAGUAUCAGAGCCCACAGCUAGGACAGUCCUUGCGGCCACUUCUAUCUUCCACACACACUUUCCAGAUGCUCCUUGUGGUGGUUAGAAUAUGCUUGGCCCAGGGAGUGACAUUAUUGAGGGGUGUGGUCUUGUUGGAGGAAGUGUAUCCCGAUGGUGGACUUUGAGACCCUCUUCUUAGCUGCCUGGAAGACAGCAGUGUUCUCCUGUUUGCCUUCAGAACAAGAUGUAGAACUCUCAGCUUCUCCUGCACCAUGCCUGCCUAGAUGCUGCCAUGCUUCCUGCUUUGAUGAUAAUGGAAUGAACCUCUUAACUGGUAAUCCAGCCCCAAUUAAAAGAGUUGCCUUGGUCAUGGUGUCUGUUCACAGCAAUGGAAACCCUAACUAAGACGCACAUAGACCCUGCCUAUGAAGUGGGGGCUGUGGUGUUUCAGAGGUCCUCUGUCCUUCUGAGAUCCAGGCACAUGGACGUCCUAGCCAUAGAUAAACAUUGGCUGCUUCCUAUUCAGUGCCAGUCAGCUUACCUCACCUGUCAGUCAAAGAGCUGGCCAGCCCUCCUUCCCUUCCACCCCCAGGGCCAAAGAACGUUCCUCAUAUAUAUCCCUGAACCCAGAAGCUGCUGAGGCCUCUGUCCUCACCUCCCGACUCCUGGCAUCUGUAUUUGAUAAACGUUGCUGUUUCCACAAAGGGACUCUCGGCCUAGGGGAGACUUGGAGCUACACACCCAUCAAGGACACUCAGGACACAGAUGGACAAAGUCCUUUUCUGCCUUCGCUCAUCUAGGAUAUGAGUUGAAGUAAAGAAUGGAGUCACCCACAUCCUCCCCACAUUUCAAAAGCCCCACCUCCCAAGGGGUUCAUUGCCUUCCUGUGGCACCAUGAGCCUGAAGAGCGCAUGUUAGAUCCAGUCUUCUGCACAAAGGAUGCUUCUGAUGUGGUUGGCCUCUUCCCGGAAGGACUGCAGAACAUCUGAGGGGAACAGGGACGCUGGCGUCUUGCAAGAGACAGCUUUCCAGGGCUUCCACCGUGCAAAGCCCCCUUGCAGUUCUUUUUGCCUCCCCAAUCCCCUGCAAGCCUAGAUCCAACAUUUGUGUUAACGGUUUGUAGAGUAGGAAGCUGACCCAGACUCCCAAGCCCUGCCUGCCCCACCCAAGAUAUUUGCACCAAUUUGCAAAUUGGUUUGAAAUUGAAGUCAGAAUUACAGCUUCUUAUUUUCUAUUUUCUGUCUCUUUCAGAUGGGCUCUCAUUUCUGUCCCUCUUCUUAAGAAAGGCCCCAAGGGGGGAAAAUACAGGUCUCAAAGCUAAACAGAACCAAAGAAAAGCAA